AGCGAACGCUGGCGGCAGGCCUAACACAUGCAAGUCGAACGAACUCUUCGGAGUUAGUGGCGGACGGGUGAGUAACACGUGGGAACGUGCCUUUAGGUUCGGAAUAACUCAGGGAAACUUGAGCUAAUACCGGAUGUGCCCUUCGGGGGAAAGAUUUAUCGCCUUUAGAGCGGCCCGCGUCUGAUUAGCUAGUUGGUGAGGUAAAGGCUCACCAAGGCGACGAUCAGUAGCUGGUCUGAGAGGAUGAUCAGCCACAUUGGGACUGAGACACGGCCCAAACUCCUACGGGAGGCAGCAGUGGUGAAUCUUGCGCAAUGGGCGAAAGCCUGACGCAGCCAUGCCGCGUGAAUGAUGAAGGUCUUAGGAUUGUAAAAUUCUUUCACCGGGGACGAUAAUGACGGUACCCGGAGAAGAAGCCCCGGCUAACUUCGUG
rnacentral:rRNA from 1 species